GACGAACGCUGGCGGCGUGCCUAAUACAUGCAAGUCGAACGCUUCUUUCCUCCCGAGUGCUUGCCCUCAAUUGGUACGAGGAGUUGCGGACGGGUGAGUAACACGUGGGUAACCUACCCAUCAGCGGGGGAUAACACUUGGUAACAGGUGCUAAUACCGCAUAACAGUUUAUGCCGCAUGGCAUAAGAGUGAAAGGCGCUUUCGGGUGUCGCUGAUGGAUGGUUCCGCGGUGCAUUAGCUAGUUGGUGAGGUAACGGCUCACCAAGGCCACGAUGCAUAGCCGACCUGGGAGGGUGAUCGGCCACACUGGGACUGAGACACGGCCAGGACUCCUACGGGAGGCAGCAGUAGGGAAUCUUCGGCAAUGGACGAAAGUCUGACCGAGCAACGCCGCGUGAGUGAAGAAGGUUUUCGGAUCGUAAGACUCUGUUGUUAGAGAAGAACAAGGACGGUAGUAACUGAACGUCCCCUGACGGUAUCUAACCAGAAAGCCACGGCUAACUACGUG
rnacentral:rRNA from 1 species